rnacentral:misc_RNA from 1 species
AAGUCGUAACAAGGUUUCCGUAGGUGAACCUGCGGAAGGAUCAUUAUCAAUUGAAUCCUCAGACUGUAAACAGGUCUGUUGGUUUAUUGUGAACUGUUGGAGAGAUUCCAUCUCUCUAUUUUUUAUCGUUUUUUAUUAUAAAAUGUUUGGAAUAUGGCUUUAUAAAAAGACAACUUUCAGCAAUGGAUCUCUUGGCUCUU